rnacentral:rRNA from 1 species
UACGGGGGGGGUAAGCGUUGUUCGGAAUUACUGGGCGUAAAGGGCUCGUAGGCGGCCAACUAAGUCAGACGUGAAAUCCCUCAGCUUAACUGGGGAACUGCGUCUGAUACUGGAUGGCUUGGAUUUGGGAGAGGGAUGCGGAAUUCCAGGUGUAGCGGUGAAAUGCGUAGAUAUCUGGAGGAACACCGGUGGCGAAGGCGGCAUCCUGGACCAACAUUGACGCUGAUGCGCGAAAGCCAGGGGAGCAAACGGG